GCCGCCGAGGAUCCGACGCUGCACCCCCCCCUCCUCCCGAGGCUCCGACGCCGCCGCCCGACGCCGGCCGAGGCUGCCGUCCCUGUCCCCGCCGACGCUGGGUUUCUGUAUUCUACUGCUCUGUACUUAAUUUACUAGUGAGAGGCAAAAUGAAGUGCAAUGCUUGCUGGCGGGAGUUGGAAGGGCAAGCUGUAUCAACUACCUGUGGUCAUCUUUUAUGUACAGAGGACGCUAAGAAAAUACUCAGCAACGAUGCUGCAUGCCCGAUUUGUGAUCAAGUGCUUUCAAAAAGCCACAUGAGACCUGUUGAUACAAAUCCAAGUGAUGAUUGGACAAAUAUGGCCAUGGCUGGAGUUUCUCCCCAGAUAUUAAUGAAGAGUGCAUACAGAAGUGUCAUGUUUUACAUUGGGCAAAAGGAACUGGAGAUGCAGUACAAAAUGAACAGAAUUGUUGGUCAGUGUAGGCAAAAGUGUGAGCUUAUGCAGGCAAAGUUCACUGAGAAGCUGGAAGAAGUUCAUACUGCAUACCAGAAGAUGGCCAAAAAAUGCCAGUUGAUGGAACAAGAGAUUGAAAACUUGACGAGGGAUAAGCAAGAGCUACAAGAAAAAUUUGCUGAGAAAUCCAGGCAGAAAAGGAAGCUUGACGAGAUGUAUGAUCAGCUGAGAAGCGAGUACGAGUCGGCAAAGCGUUCAGCUAUUCAACCCGCGAACAACUACUUCCCAAGAGCUCAGCCAGACUUGUUCUCAGGCAUGCCCAACAUAAUGGAUAGCGACCCUCUGAGACAAGGGUCGAUUGGUCCUCCUGAAACUCCAGGGCGGAGAGAUGAGGGAUGGGCUCCACCACCAAGGCAACGUCGUUCCACCUCUGGUCCAUUUGAGCUGUCUGCGGGAUCUCCUGCUCAUAAUGCGGCGCCCCAGGUUGAUAUUAGAACCAGACAGCCGGCACGGCCCGUCUUCGGCACUACCAUGAACAAUACUUCUGCAGCUCUGCGAAAUAUGAUAAUCUCGCCUGUGAAGCGUCCUCAGCUUUCCAGAAACCGUCCACAUAUGUUCACGUUGUAGAGUUGGAUAAGCUGAGGGGGCAUGCUGCUUCGGAAUCUGUCACGCUCUUGUCAUGGACUUAUCUUCUAACUGUAAAUGCUGAUAUUAUGUUAUUGAUACACAUAUGGCUAGGGCAUAAUCCUGUUGUUCCAUUCUAUUAAUAAAAGGAGAUCAAACAGAUUAUCUAAUCAAUUUAGACGAUGAUACGACCGGUGAAGUGGCGGCGGACUUCCUUGUGUGGAAGGAGAGGAGAGAACAAUCCAACAAACAUGUUCCCACCUUGCUCAUGUGGCUAACUAUUAGGAUUUAAUUUUUGGUCUAUCGAAGUAUGGGGUAAUUUUUAGACUCAUUAUUUGUUAGAUGGACUUCGAUAUAGGAUUUUUGGACUUAAUUUCUAGAUUUCUAUCGGAGAUGAUGCUUAAUCAUACUUUGUAUAUGCUCGGGCCUCGUUUGGUUUAAAGUAAAUAUAGAAAUUUUGUAGGAUCCGAAUUAUAAUGGAUUUUUCAA